UCGAGAAUCUUCCGCAAUGGACGAAAGUCUGACGGAGCGACGCCGCGUGAUGGAUGAAGUCCCUCUGGGACGUAAACAUCUUUUAUGAGGGAGAAAGUUUAUUGAUAGUACCUCACGAAUAAGGGGUUGCUAAACUCGUGCCAGCAGCAGCGGUAAUACGAGUGCCCCGAGCGUUAUCCGGAAUCAUUGGGCGUAAAGGGUGUGUAGGUGGCAUUGUUAGUCACACGUUAAACCCUGGGGCUUAACCCCAGAUCUGCGUGUGAUACGGCAAAGCUAGAGGAUGGCAGGGAUGUAUGGAACUCAUGGAGUAGGGGUGAAAUCCGUUGAUAUCAUGGGGAACACCGAAAGCGAAGGCAGUACAUUGGGCCACUCCUGACACUGAAACACGAAAGCGUGGGUAGCGAAUGGGAUUAGAUACCCAGUAGUCCCUGAGCGGGCUGGCAAGGCGCAU
rnacentral:rRNA from 1 species